ACAACAGCAGAAAACGGCUGCUAAUACCGCAUAACAAGGGAUUGCCGCAUGACGAUCCUUUCAAAGAUUUAUCGCUGUGAGAUGGACCCGCGUCUGAUUAGCUUGUUGGUGGGGUAACGGCCUACCAAGGCGACGAUCAGUAGCCGGCUUGAGAGAGUGAACGCCCACAUUGGGAUUGAGACACGGCCCAGACUCUUACGGGAGGCAGCAGUGGGGAAUAUUGCACAAUGGGGGAAACCCUGAUGCAGCGACGCCGCGUGAGUGAAGAAGUAUUUCGGUAUGUAAAGCUCUAUCAGCAGGGAAGAUAAUGGCGGUACCUGACUAAGAAGCCCCGGCUAACUUCGUGCCAGCAGCCGCGGUAAUACGUAGGGGGCAAGCGUUAUCCGGAUUUACUGGGUGUAAAGGGAGCGUAGGUGGCAGGGCAAGUCAGAUGUGAAAACCCGGGGCUCAACUCCGGGAUUGCAUUUGAAACUGUCCGGCUGGAGUGCAGGAGAGGUAAGUGGAAUUCCUAGUGUAGCGGUGAAAUGCAUAGAUAUUAGGAGGAACACCAGUGGCGAAGGCGGCUUACUGGACUGUAACUGACACUGAGUCUCGAAAGCGUGGGGAGCAAACA
rnacentral:rRNA from 1 species